rfam:Aedes aegypti strain Liverpool supercont1.958 genomic scaffold, whole genome shotgun sequence.
UGUUCUGUAGCUUAGUUGGUUAAAGCGCUGGUCUAGCGUACACGGAGUCGUGAGUCCGAGUCUCACUAGAACGC